GUGCUUGAUGUGGCAGUGCACAGACCAAAAUUGGAACAAUACAGAGAAGAUUAGCAUGGUUCCUGUACAAGAAUGACACAUAAAUUUGUGAAGCGUCCCACAUCUGG
ensembl:snRNA U6 U6 spliceosomal RNA